AGAUAUCCACUUUUAUGAAGAUUUCCUGGCUUCAAUGAACUGAGUUUCAGAACUCUACUAGUCGCGAUUCGGCUAGCUGAUACAUUGGGCAAAGACAUGAUGCAAGUAGAAGCCAUCAACAAUGUAAAAGUAGCCAAAGACAGCACCUGGACCAUUUGUUCAACAGUAUAAAAUUCUUUGGAUAUAAAUAUGGAAGAACAAUAAAAGAGAAGAGCUCUGACAAAAUACAAAAGAGAGUUGUUAAUAGCAAACCCAAGACUAGUCCAAAAGGCUCGCCUUUUGAAAGCUUCCCAGCUUUUGCGCAAAGAAUUUUUAUGAUUUUCUCGAAAAAAAGAUAGCACCGAAUAUCCUUUAAUUGUAUCCAAAUUGACGAUCGUUUUAUGAAGGAUAGAGGUAGUCGAUAUUACAACAUCUUGACACAUCCGCUCAGUGCUGACAUAUAUAUAUGAAAACAUUCUGGAAGUCAGACAUAAAAUUGGGCUUACUGCAACCAGUACAGCAGCCAAUCUCCAGCCAGUUGCGAAAGACCAUGCUAUUCCAAUAAUCGCCAUAGUAAAUGCAAUAAAAACCUCCUCAAUGAGAGAACUAAUCAUGUUUCGCAUAUCACUGAUAUUGUUAACAAGUAUUUUAGAUAACACGAGUGGAUAAUUUUCGAUUUGAUCGAACCAAGCUUGAUCCUGAGUGAAAAGUACUUUAACAGCUAAUAACCGGUAGUGAUCACACCAAAUUUUAGCAGAUAUUGAAAAAAUAUAAUGACUAAAAAAAUAGGAAGCCCCCGAUCCAGCAGCAACGACCAAAACCAUUGAAGACCAAAAUGCUACUCCAAUCGAUGGAUCAAUUUGCAUAAACAAAUUUAAGCACUUUGAAAUAACGUAAGCAAAUAUAGGAACACUAGCACCUUGUAUCAAAGACGUGAGCAAACCAAGAAGAAAAAACCACCUUAGCUUUUUGACUUUCCAAAUACUCUUAAAGAUUAAUGUUAACGAACAUGCAUGCUCUUUGUCAUCAAAUAAAUGGAAAGUUUGGUCUACAUUCGUUUCUUGAAAGGAUUCUUUUUCCAUACGCAACUUCCUUUGCUCAACAAUUUUUCUUCGCGACACAAUUGUAGGAGAUUCUAUAUCGGUGAAUGGAGAUUCUAAACUGGUGAAUAAUGACUCUCUGGAUAACUGCGAAAAACUUUCAUUGUAAUUAAUCCAAUACUUUUCAAGCAGUGAUUCCUCAUUUGGUAAAAUAAACGGAUUAUCAGCUUCUUCCUUCAAAACCUUUUCAUCGAUUGAUACAUUGUUUUCAAAAUCCUCAAACAACACCAAUUCCUUCCUAGCGCAUCUCUGUAUUAAAUGACCCUUAUCUAUCACCAAAACCAAUUCAUCGUUGUUAAUUUGAGACAUAUCGUGAGUAAUUACUAAUGUAGUUUUUCCCUUGCGAUGAGCUCGAAUAGCAUCCAUGACGAGAUUUUUAGUGAUUGGAUCAAGAGCGCUAGUUGGCUCAUCAAGUAUUAAAAUCUCCGUGUCACGAAGCAAAGCUCUAGCUAAUGCGAUUCUUUGCUGUUGACCUCCACUAAGCGAAGCUUCCUUACAAGGUGUAUCAUAGCUUUGAUCAAAUGUAAGAGCAAAUUCGUCAACAAGUGCCAAUCUGCAAACUUCUUCAAAAUCUGACUCGCUAGCAUUUUCAUUCCUCAUAAUAAUGUUCUCACGUAUAGUCAUGUCAAAAAUGACAGGUUGCUGACACACCAGUGUAAUAGUAGAGCCAAGGACAUGUUCAUCUAUUUCUUCCAAAGGAAAGUCAUCCAAAUAUAUAUUUCCGUAAGUUGGAGAAAAGUAACGCAACAAAAGACUGAUAAAGGUACUCUUACCAGAGCCACUUGGACCAAUAAUAUGUACCAACUCUCCAAAAGGUAUGAACACAGACACGUUAAUUAAACUAAACAAGUUCUCAUCUCGAGAAGGAUAUGCAAAGGAGACAUUAUCAAAGCGAAAACCUCGUUCAAACGAUAUGCUUUUUAUUUUAGCCGCUGAACGCUUCGCAGCCUCUAUAGGAUCAUGGCUUUCACAUAAUGUUUUAAUAAAAUGAGAGCUAAAUUUUCCUUUAAUCAAAUCUGGUAUAGCUGGUAAAAUUUGCUGUAAUGAGGAAGCCACUGAUAAACAAGAGCCAAAAACAGUAACGACUUGCCCCACAUUUACCCUUUUCGUUGUGGCCAAAUGAUUGCCAAACCAAAGACCUUGAAAAAAGACAGAGUAAAGAAAAAAUUGUGAAACUCCUCCUUGAAAUGCAUCUAAGAAAGAGAAUCUCAAAAAAGAUUUACUACUAGUACUGCAGGCAUCUGCAAAGUAUCUAUACUCAGUGUCCUGCAUAGAGUGAAAGAUAACUGUUUGGAUCGCAGAUAUAGAUUUUUCUAAGAUGGAAGCAGCCUUUUCUGAAGACUUCCUGUCUUUUUCAUAAGCUGAGGAUAAAAAAGAAUUGAUGAAUCCAACUACUAGAAUAAUGAUAGGAUAGGAUGCUAAAACAACCAAUGUAAGAGACCAGCUAUAGCGAAAAGAAAUGAUAAGACAAGAUAAAGAAAUAGCUAGGUUUUCCGCAAUAUGAAACAUGGGAAGACUAAUUGACUUUUCGUAAAAUUGUAUGCAUCGAUCGACUGAAUUGACUAGCCCACUUUUGCUUUCCGUUAAAGAGUAGAAAGUUGAGGAUUUGCUUGAUAAAACGUGAAAACAUAAUGAUCGAGCUCUCUUUCCAGCAAUAGCACUCAAAUAUUGCCAUAGAAAGCGAACACCAAAACUAAAUACGCAAGAAGCAAGACCAAAUAUCGUGAUUAAUAGAGAAUUAAAGUUAAUAAGAGAGAUCAUUUUGCCCAGUGUAAUUUGCGAGGUUGCAUACUGUGAGAGAGCGUCAAACACCUUGCCGGUCGUCCAAGUCAUCAAAGGCUCUAAGGCAGCAGAAAGACAAGUAAAGAUGAGAGUGCCAAAAAUUAAAGGAAUAUCAGAAAAAUGAAAUAAAUAAAAAAAAUCAGACCACGAAGAGACGCCUGCAAGCUCCUCGGUAUGUUGAAAUUCAUCAUCAACAACAGUAGGAAUAUUCAACAAUGCAUCUUUACGAUCUGAAACAGGAAAUGUAGUCGAACAAGGAGAUUCUUGACUUCGAAGUGUUUCUAAAGAUUUAUUGGUGAUACUAAAGUUGUGUUUCUUUUCUUCAAACGAAGAUUUUUGUGGUGAAUAGGAAGGAGGGUCAAUGGAUGCGUGUUCAAACUGAGGGAGUGAUAAAUCUGAAUGAAUGUGCAUUAAAAAACAAAAUCCAAAGAGUGAUUCUUUGCCAAAGAAACCGCACCGAAUGGUGUCUGAAGAGAGGACAAGCCCUUCAUUUUGUAUGGUGGACAACAAUGGAGAGUACCUAACAAAGGCCCAUUGUGUACUCAGCACAAUGGGAAAUAUCCCUUUGAUAGAAGAUGCAGAAGUUAGAUUACAAUAAAAUAAAAUAUAACAAAGGAACUAAAUUUAUAAAAAAAAAAGAAUGAAAGGAACAACCUCAAAGUAGCUCCCGAAAGUUACGAAAAUGAAUGACAAGUGGUGUACUCGUCAAGGUGUAAAUAAAUAAUAGCAGUUCUUGAUUGCAUGCUGACACGCUUAAGUUGGAUAAGUUAGUUUUAAUUUUAUAUAAUUAUCUAAACUAAAACAAAAUACUUUAUUUGGGUACUAACAUGGACAUCUU